ACUCCCAAACCCCUGUGAACAUACCUUAUUGUUGCCUCGGCGGAUCAGCCCGCUCCCCGUAAAACGGGACGGCCCGCCAGAGGACCCAAACUCUAUUGUAUUUAGUGUAUCUUCUGAGUAACACAAACAAAUAAAUCAAAACUUUCAACAACGGAUCUCUUGGUUCUGGCAUCGAUGAAGAACGCAGCAAAAUGCGAUAAGUAAUGUGAAUUGCAGAAUUCAGUGAAUCAUCGAAUCUUUGAACGCACAUUGCGCCCGCCAGUAUUCUGGCGGGCAUGCCUGUUCGAGCGUCAUUUCAACCCUCAAACCCCCGGGUUUGGUGUUGGGGAUCGGAUUGCUAGUCAAUCCGUCUCCGAAAUCUAGUGGCGGUCUCGCUGCAGCCUCCAUUGCGUAGUAGCUAACACCUCGCAACUGGAACGCGGCGCGGCCAUGCCGUUAAACACCCAACUUCUGAAUGUUGACCUCGGAUCAGGUAGGAAUACCCGC
rnacentral:rRNA from 1 species